CCGAAUUCGAGUAGACUGGCAAGCCCCAGGAAGAAGGCUGGCAGUCAGAGUGGCCACUACAGCUCUCUGCAGCAGACCCUCUUCCCAGGCUAGACAGCUCAGCCUUUGCCAGAUGAACCAACAAGGUGGAUAUCCUGCAUUUCAAAACAUUUCUGAUUGACAUCCUCGCUAAAGGAUUUGAUGCACGUCAGGAGAAUAUGCAUGCCAGGAGAAUAUCUCUCCCAUAUGUAGAGAGCUCGCUUAGCUGCGCAGGAUGGAGGGUGGGGGAUGUAGCCCUUAAGGGCAUAUUUUUGUGUUACACGGGGCACUUCCAGGGCAAGGAGAGAUCAGAGAAAAUUGUCCCCAAAUCCUCUGCACUCUGGAAGCUCCCCAUAGUGCAGAUAUGUCUUCUUCACUAAGAAACUGAAGCACGUCAGACUCCUUAGAGAAGAUCUCAGCCACUGUUCCAAAGAAUACACUGUACACCCUUUUAAAAUAAAUCUGCCAUGUCUGUCA